CGGUCGCCCCGCGGCGACGCGUUGUGAAUCCCGUCAGGCCCGGAAGGGAGCAGCGGCAGCAGCGGCAGUCGGGCGCCGGGGAAGGGC
rnacentral:SRP_RNA from 1 species